AUGGAUCGAUGAUGCCAUAUUC
rnacentral:siRNA from 1 species